AAUUAGUAAACCAGAUAAAAAUUGGUGGAGAUAUCGAAUUGUGUCUUCUCAUCAAAAUUUGAAUGCUAUCGGAUGGACUAAGUUUUCUGAAGAAGUUUACGGUUUUUCGGCAUAUUGGGACAACAGAAUAGGCAAGUUCGGAAUAUUUGCUCGAGUCAUAGGCAUUAUUCAUAGAAAUGUGAGUACUCUCAUGAAGCUAAAAUGCUACGUUAAAAGUGGAAACGAUGUGACCGAAGCUGCAAUAUUUCCGCAUGUUAUAGGAGAAUUUCACGAAAUGAAUCAUACAGCUAUCAUGUUUAUUUGCACUCCUAAGGUUUCCGCUAUACCUAGACAGAUUUCGAUUGUUUCUAGUGAUGACAAAACUUCUAGAGUGUGGAUACCUAUUCAAAGACCACGCUCUACAAAAUCUUUCAAAAAUAAAAUGGCUGUAUGUGUUAGACCGCUAUUCGGUCCUUUCAACAAUACUCUAG
rnacentral:lncRNA from 1 species